AGUGCAGGUCUGGAGAAAGAGAGCAAGAUGGAAACCAUGGUAACUUUUAUGACCUUGUCUCAAAAAUUGUGUAGCAUCCAUCCACUCCAUUCUAUUGCUCAAGGAGUACACAGUUCUGCUUAAGUUCAAGGGGAGGGAACAGAGACUCCAUUUCUUGAUGGAGGAGUGUCAACGUUAUAUUACAUUGUAAGAAGGCUAUGUGGGAUAGGAUAUGAACUGGUUCAUGUUCCAUCCUGGACAUUCACCAUUUCUCCAGGGCCUGUGGGGAUUCCAGGAUGUGGAGGCAAAGAAAUAUGAGGGAAAGCCCUGGGCGACAGCGUGCUAGCAACAUCCUGUGCUUUAGCUAUAGGGAGAGAGAAGGUGGCGAGGAGUCUUGUGCAACCUGGCUUAUCAUCCUGCACAUCCCAUUAGAAGAUUGCAGGGUUUUGGUCUUUCAGGUCUGGCCUGAAAGAACUUAGCAUUAAUGUGAGAAAUCCAAAGUUUCCAAGUGUCUCUCCCCAGUCUUCAACUUUUAAGACCUAAUUAUAAAACUUAUACACUGGUUCAUGUUGAAUAA